GGUUGUCCCUACCUUUAAGACAUGCUCAAUUUGUUAAAUACUAAUCACACUACUUCAUCUCCACUUGAGUAGAUCUCUAUAAAUGCUGUCAUGUUACCUUUGUCUAUUUACUAGUAAGUGUUAGUUUGGAAGUACUGCACAUACUUCUAUUGGCUUUUAAAUUAAGCAUGGUGCUUAGGUUAAACAGCCUUCCUUAAUUUGAUUAGACAUGGAGUCUAGUUCGGUUAUUGAACUAAAAACUGCUUGUGUAGACAUUGGUAUAUUUUUGUCGGACUAACCCCUGCAGAUAAAAAAACUUUCAAUAUCGAUUUGCGAAGUCCUGAGAUAAACUCACAUCAAAGACGAAGAGAGUGACACAUGAAGUUUAAUAAUUUGCACAAGAAGGACAUAGCUCAUUCAUCAUAGAGAGAUGAUCCAUGGAGGGUGCCACAAACACGAUGCACAACCGCUAAGAAAGGAAAGCUUCCACAAGGUGAUACUGUACCAUCACUCUUCAAGCAAGGUAACAUCUUAAGGUACUUGACUAUCACUUUUAUAAGCUUCUCCUUGGUUCUAGCGUUCAUAUAAAUAAAAGAGACAAACAUGUAUGAUUUACAACUCUAGAUUAACCAACCUAACUGAUUCAACAUGUUUAGUCCUUUAAUCCUUGUUCUUAGUACUACGUCCAUGAUCCCACACUCCUAAUCAUAUGAGCUAAAAUGUUACACAUUCAAUCAUUGAGAGAUAUAAAGAAAAAGACAUAUACAUAGAUAGAUUGUCUUUCUAUAAGGUUGAGCGAUCUGAUCUGACAAAUGUUAUAAGUGCUACACUCAUGAACUUUUCAUCCAUCAACUUUGUCUUGCUCACUAUGCUUAGGGUUAGAGAAGAACAAAUACACUUUAGGUUCUGUUGGUGUUUUCCACCAACAGGACCCAUGCACUUGAUCUCUGCCUUGUCUCUAUGAGCAGGCACACUUCGAGCAAAACACGGAGGAGUUUCAUAACUCUCAGACUCUACCAAGUGAAGGACCUGGAUCUACGAGCACAAACACACUGAGCAGGUUACUGACAACGCUGCACUUCGAACUGCUGGGCAAACGAAGAACAUGGGUGACACCGUAUCAAGAGGUGCAGACGUCAAGGUCCACACCUAAAUCAAAUGACGCACCUGAAGAAUGAAACAGUGAGAAGUCUUGUUCAGAAGACUUAAAACAUUGAAUCCUCGCCGAAAGGUAAAAUCAGUAGUUAUCCAUAUUUAUCCUUUCUGCAUUCCCUUUUCCCUUUAAUUAUAUCACUUUCCUUAAAUGGCUUGUUAGUUAAUCAUGCUAUCUUAAAAAGAAAAUAAAAAUGUUAAAAAAUACUAAGCCCCAUGUGAGUAUACGAGUGGCAUAAAACCCAUAAGUACCUUCACUGCGGUGGCAUAAAACUAAAAUAAAUAUUUCUUUUCUGUUUUAUAAAAUAAAAAUAUAAAAACAGGGAGUAAUAUUUAUUGAGGAAGCUCAACAUGAUGAAGGCUAGAUAUUUAUGCUAACACUUAAUUAGUUCCACAAGCUUUGUUGUCUAUUUGAGCUCCACAGAAUUUAAGAACCAAGAAGACUAGCAGACGGAGGACAUUCUAAUCGCUGUCAGAAUGCUGCUGACUUUCAAAUACACCUCUGCCACCUGCUAGCUACAUCAAGAGAAAUUACGUCAAAAUUCAGCUUGGGGGAGAGCACCCCCAUUUAUCUCGCUAAGUAUUUUUACCUAUCUUUAUACUUAUAUUAUAUUAGAAUAUUAAAAUACAUAAACUAUGAAAAAUCAAAUAAAGAUUUUGUGCUUAUAUAUAUAUCUUUUGCUUAGUGUGUUUAAUAAAUAAAUAAAUAAAGUGGCUAUGCUAAUCUGAAUCUUAAUAAUAAAACUCUAGCAUGGAUAUGAUGAAUAGUUGCUCUGCCUAAUUUGCAAAUUUGAAGUUCUCUCUCAAGUUUAGACAUAACUGUUAUAAUUUAAAGCUUGCUCUAGAUCUAAACUUGUGGCAUGAAAACUUGAUCUGAAAUCUAAGUUGUUAACGGAUAUGAUAUGGGAAGGUUGAGCUGCUGUUUAUCUGUUCCCAGAGAUGCUAGAAUUCUGGAGAAUUUUAUCUUUGAAAAAUCUUUAAAAUAUUGCAUGAUGAGUUCCUGUAUGAUGAGAGUUUAAAUUCCUACCACAGCCAUAUAUACAUGCUUGCUAGACUUUGAGCCACACAUUUAUUAUUUACUGCUUAUGAGCAUUGAGUGUGGUCAAGCUGUGUAGACUCUUAGGAGCUUGUCAUGUGGUUAAAUCAAGAUUCACUUGCACGGUCACUCAUAUAUGCUACUUCUACUCCGGAAAUACCAUCCACAUAUAUCCAUCUCCAGAACCACCCAAAAAUAUUCUACUCCUAAUCCGGGAGAGAAUAGCCAAAAAUAUUUCUGUUUUCCCUUGUGAAAUAAAUGCUCAAGUUAUCUUGCUACUACCACUUGCUAUAUUAUCUCAAGAGAUGAGUGCUCUGAAAAGAAAAAAAAAAGAAAAGAGAAGAAAAUAAAAUAAAAAUAAUAAUAAACGAGGAAAUAAAAAGGGGCAAGUGCCCGAAACCUCGAAGAAAAGAAAAAGUGAGACGAGAGGUAAAAAUGGAUAAGUGUCUGACAGUAGAAUUAGGGGUACAAGAUACCCACCUGAGAGAAAAGAAAAAAAAAGAAAAUAUAGAGCAUCUCAUUCCCUUCAAAAAGCUUCAAAGUGCAAGAAAGGUAUGUAUCCCCUCAAAAAGAGCAAAAGUAGAAUUAGACUUUCACCAUUGUUAUCACCAUCAUCACCAUACACCAUUCAUUCACCACACAUGCACAUCUUGAUUUGGCUUAUUGAUUUGUUUCUUUGGAUCCAUGGUUUGACUGUACAAUAAAUGUCUUGUAAGUAUGUAUACUUUAUCUUCCACCUAUGAGCUCUAGAUAUUAAAGCCUUAUUAGAGUAGGGUGAGAGAGAAGGCAAUGUCACUAUGCCUUAUACCACAAAUACCACAUAUCUUGAGAGAAGGCAUAUACCAUCACUGCCUUGGUAAGGAUCCAGAAAUACCACAAAAGAGAGAUUUAGAGAGUCAUACAAGGAAUCUCUGAGUUUUAUUUGAAAAUCUGCAAAAACUCCAGAGCUAUAGCUGAUCAAGAAUAAGAGACAUGGCACUUGGCUAGACUGUUCUAUCUGUUAACUACUCAAGACAGAAGUGACGGUUACAAGUCCCAUGGUCAAAGGUAAAGUAAGUAAGUUUUAGUUCUUGACAGUUUACUCUAACUUGGAGAUGAGAUCUUAUUUAAAAGCAUGUGUACCGUCAAAAUUUUAAGAUAUUGCAACAACUUCUGAUCCAUUGCUGAGUCUAUCCUUGCUCAGGGACGAGCAAGAGGUAAGCUUGGGGGAGUUUGUUGACGGUCCUUAAGUAUCAAAUUUAAUUAUCAAAUAAACAAAGAAAAGGAUCUAAAUGAAAUCAACAUCUAGACUUAGGGUUUUAUCUGACAGAAUUCCAUGAGUUUUGGUCUUUGUCUAUUUCUGCAGGCGGUUAUCAGGAAAUAUGGAAGAAAGGACCACACGUCGGGAUUACAUAGAGAUAUUAACGUGCCACGCAAUUAUCUUACAUCUAGAAGACUCCUGAAGCCACGGGAAGGAAGCGGAGGCCGAACGGGGCCAGAGGCAGGGCGCCCGCCCUGACUUGGAGCCCAAUCAGGACUCUUUCUCUCGGGAGAUCUCCACCGACCUAAAGGAUCAAGAAUAACCGUUCAAUCAAUGUCGGUUUGAUCCGACGGCCUAGGUUCACUUGAGGGGACUAUAUAACCAGACCCCCUGGCCCUUGGAGGAGGCACCCCUUGAUCAUUAUUCAUUAUUCAUAGACAGAGCAAAAGCUAGGGUUUAGAGAUGAGAGCUCUCCUCUCUUCUCUAAACUAGAGUAGAUCUAGAUAGUAGCAAGAUGGCGAGUGAAGGAGGAUUAGAGGAGAGGCUGGCCUGUCGGUUCUUCCUCCGGUUGUACUUUGUCAUGAUCAAGAUCUAAUCAAGCUUGCUCAUGGGAUGACUCUGGUAAUCUACUUCUAAUUCAUUAUGCAAUUACUAAUCAUGUUGUUGAUAUUUGGGAACGCAAUAAGGAAUUGAUCCGCAAGCGC
rnacentral:lncRNA from 1 species